rnacentral:rRNA from 1 species
GUGACUGCGUACCUUUUGUAUAAUGGGUCAGCGACUUAUAUUUUGUAGCAAGGUUAACCGAAUAGGGGAGCCGUAGGGAAACCGAGUCUUAACUGGGCGUGUAGUUGCAAGGUAUAGACCCGAAACCCGGUGAUCUAGCCAUGGGCAGGUUGAAGGUUGGGUAACACUAACUGGAGGACCGAACCGACUAAUGUUGAAAAAUUAGCGGAUGACUUGUGGCUGGGGGUGAAAGGCCAAUCAAACCGGGAGAUAGCUGGUUCUCCCCGAAAUCUAUUUAGGUAGAGCCUUGAGCGGACACCUUUGGGGGUAGAGCACUGUUUCGGCUAGGGGGCCAUCCCGGCUUACCAACCCGAUGCAAACUCCGAAUACCAAAGAGUGAUACUCAGGAGACACACGGCGGGUGCUAACGUUCGUCGUGAAGAGGGAAACAACCCAGACCGCCAGCUAAGGUCCCAAAGUCUAUAUUAAGUGGGAAACGAAGUGGGAAGGCUUAGACAGCUAGGAUGUUGGCUUAGAAGCAGCCACCAUUUAAAGAAAGCGUAAUAGCUCACUAGUCGAGUCGGCCUGCGCGGAAGAUGUAACGGGGCUCAAAUAUAGCACCGAAGCUGCGGCAUCAGAUGUAAAUCUGUUGGGUAGGGGAGCGUUCUGUAAGCGGAUGAAGGUGAAUCGAGAGGUUUGCUGGACGUAUCAGAAGUGCGAAUGCUGACAUAAGUAACGAUAAAACGAGUGAAAAACUCGUUCGCCGGAAGAUCAAGGUUUCCUGUCCAACGUUAAUCGGGGCAGGGUGAGUCGACCCCUAAGGCGAGGCUGAAAAGCGUAGUCGAUGGGAAACAGGUUAAUAUUCCUGUACUUGUAAUAACUGCGAUGUGGGGACGGAGAAGGUUAGGUUAUCAGGGUGUUGGAUUACCCUGUUUAAGCCGUUAGGUGGGAAUUUUAGGCAAAUCCGGAAUUCCAUUAACACCGAGAAGUGAUGACGAGACUCUAAGGAGUUGAAGUAACUGAUACCACGCUUCCAGGAAAAGCCACUAAGCAUAGGUUAUUAUAAAUCGUACUGUAAACCGACACAGGUGAUCAGGUAGAGAAUACUCAGGCGCUUGAGAGAACUCGGGUGAAGGAACUAGGCAAAAUAGCACCGUAACUUCGGGAGAAGGUGCGCCGGCGUAGAUUGUAGCUCUUUACGAGUGAAGGUUGAACCGGUCGAAGAUACCAGCUGGCUGCAACUGUUUAUUAAAAACACAGCACUCUGCAAACACGAAAGUGGACGUAUAGGGUGUGAUGCCUGCCCGGUGCUGGAAGGUUAAUUGAUGAUGUAAUCGAAAGAGAAGCUUCUGAUCGAAGCCCCAGUAAACGGCGGCCGUAACUAUAACGGUCCUAAGGUAGCGAAAUUCCUUGUCGGGUAAGUUCCGACCUGCACGAAUGGCAUAAUGAUGGCCAGGCUGUCUCCACCCGAGACUCAGUGAAAUUGAAAUCGCCGUGAAGAUGCGGUGUACCCGCGGCUAGACGGAAAGACCCCGUGAACCUUUACUAUAGCUUGACACUGAACCUUGAAUUUUAAUGUGUAGGAUAGGUGGGAGACU